rnacentral:misc_RNA from 1 species
UCCAACUUAACGCUGGCAGUCUCCUUAGAGUGCCCAACUUAAUGCUGGCAACUAAGGAUAAGGGUUGCGCUCGUUGCGGGACUUAACCCAACAUCUCACGACACGAGCUGACGACAGCCAUGCAGCACCUGUGCUUCGGCCCUUGCGGGCUAUCAUAUCUCUACGAUAUUCCGAAGCAUGCCAAACCCAGGUAAGGUUUUUCGCGUUGCAUCGAAUUAAACCACAUUCUCCACCGCUUGUGCGGGCCCCCGUCAAUUUCUUUGAGUUUUAAUCUUGCGACCGUACUCCCCAGGCGGGAUACUUAACGCGUUAGCUCCGGCACUGAAGGGGUCAAUACCUUCAACACCAAGUAUCCAUCGUUUACAGCGUGGACUAC